rnacentral:misc_RNA from 1 species
GCCAUCCAAGGUAUUUUCACCUGUUUUGUCAAAAAACGAUGUUAAGCUGCUCAAAAGUUUUGCUUCUGAUGACUCCAUUGUUGUUACGAAACCAGACAAGGGGAGGGGAGUAGUUGUUCUCGAUAAGGCUGAUUACAAAGAGAAAGUCAAACGUAUACUAUCUGAUUGUUCUAAGUUUACUCUGAUCAAGGAGCCCAUGCAGAAAGUGUUACUACAGGUGGAGGAUAAGGUUAACAGAGUGCUGACGAAACUGAAGAAGUGUGCCGCGAUUUCAUCUGAAACGUAUAACAGCCUGUAUGUAUCCGGCUCGACCCCUGGAAUUUUGUAUGGUCUACCUAAGGUCCAUAAGCUGUUGACUCCUGUGCGUCCGAUCUUUGCCGCAUGUGGAACGCCUACCUAUAAGCUUGCAAAAUUUUUGGUGCCCAUUUUAGCUCCUCUCACUGAGAACCAGUUCACGAUAAAAAAUAGCUAUCAGUUCGUAUCCGAUAUUCAAUCUAUCAGAUUAGGCUCAGAUUCUACCAUGGCUAGUUUUGAUGUUGAGAGUUUAUUUACGAAUGUACCGGUCCGAGAAACCAUUGAGAUAUGCAUUAACUCUCUGUUUGAUGGCAAAGAUACAUUCGUCGGUAUCGCAAAGGGUCUUUUCCAAUCCAUGCUCGAACUUGCUGUUCUGAACUCGUAUUUCUUGUUUGAUGGUGACCUGUACAAGCAAAAAGAUGGCGUUGGAAUGGGGCUCCCGCUAGGACCUACGUUUGCCAACAUUUUUUUAUGUUUUCAUGAGAAAAGAUGGCUUGAUGAUUGCCCCGUGGACUUCAAACCCAGCUACUAUCGCAGGUAUGUCGACGACUGCUUUCUUAUUUUUGACCACCCCUCGCAUAUAGACCGAUUCUUACAAUACUUGAACGGCCGUCACCCAAGGAUAAAGUUCACUAGGGAAGUAGAAACAAACGGUACACUUCCAUUCUUGGAUGUGAACGUCACAAGGUCUGAGGACAGAUUCGUAACCUCUGUAUUCAGGAAACCGUCAUUCACUGGACUAGGCUUAAGUUUUUUUAGCUUUAUUCCCAAGGCGAUCAAGGUGGCAGUACUGCAAUCGGCCAUCCACAGAGCUUUCAAGUUAUGCUCCAGUUAUCGACUUUUUGACUGUGAACUUAAUUUCCUGAGAACUUUCUUCAAAAAUAAUGGUUUUCCUGCUCCUCUAAUCAAUUUCGAAGUGAGGAAAUUCCUCAACAAACAAUACGAUCGGGUACCAGCAUCUUUUGAUGUGCCCAAGCUCUGCAAAUACGUGACUUUCCCGUACCUUGGAGAACAGUCUCAAGCUUUAAAACAUGCUAUUACCGAUAUACUGACUACUUUCUACCCUUAUGCCCAAUUUCGUAUCGUCCUGAGGAACCAACUUACGAUUGGCUCUUUUUUCAAACACAAAGAUAGAGUUCCAAAAAUGUGCUGCUCUGGCGUGAUAUACAAAUUCUGUUGCCCCUCGUGCGGGGGGUCGUACAUUGGUUCUACCAGUGCACGCCUUAACACCAGAGUUAGCCAACAUUUAGGAAUCUCUGAGAGAACGGGUAAGAUGCUGACAUCUCCUCCCCAGUCAUCUGUGAGAGAUCAUUCAGAUCAGUGUGACACCCGUUUUUCAAUUUCGGACUUUCAAAUACUUGCAAGAGCGCCAACAGCUAUGGACCUUAGAACGCUCGAAUCAUUACACAUACAUAUGGAAAAACCAAGCUUAAAUGGUAAAAACUCAGCUGUGCCCCUGCAGAUUGUGGCUUAGAAGUAGCCACCAUCACUUGGUGCUUUAUUUUGAAGUGCCUUGAAGUAUGAAGCACCUGAGUUCUUGACAUAUUUUUUCAAAUAGGUCUGUGAGAGCAUCAACCGAUUUUAAAAGAAUGUAGCGAUUGAUCCGAAUGUUUAAACGAUGUAACGACUUGUGAAUUUUGAAAGAAGUGUAUGUUAUUAAAUAUUUUUAGCUGUGACUCUACUUUAUCAUACAGCUAUAGAAUAAACUUCGAUGAUAAGAAUAGAAAAUGUAUCAUUCUUUAUAAAGGGACUUCGCCAAGUCAUACCACACGUCCAGACCCAGAAGAAACUCUCCAAAAUCGAGACUCUCACGCUGGCCAAAAACUACAUCAUGGCACUCACAAAUGUCGUAUGCGACAUGCGCGGACGACAUCGCGAGUACCCAGGCACCGCCGCCGAGUGCGCACCCCUGAUGACGUCAGAUUUGAUGACGUCAGAUCUGGUACCGCGGCUCGACGAGCUGCCCGAUGACAUCGAGUUGAGCGACCUCUGGCCUGAGAUCUGAGGUGAUGGGGCCAGCAGCCGGCUUCUUUGGUGAGCUGAGGGGUGUAUGAUGAUGGUCGUUGCAAACGACUGACCGUGGCGAGUCCACGGACUCUUGACGAAGGACUCAAUGUGUAACCGAUCUCCGAUUCAAUGCAUCGAGCCGUAACUGCGGAAGCAAUCCUGAUGCAGUGGGACUUGGCGGCCGAUUCCCAUACCUCUAUCUGGCUUCCUCUGAGCUUCUUUAGAUUAGGUUGACAUGUUCCUUGUACUCUGCACCCUGUUCUGAGAAGGCACCACACUCGCGCUGGAUUCAGGUCAAAGUGGAGUCCCGAAGUACGGCAGCUUAUCUGACAACUCCAGUCGAUGUGGAGCUCAGCAGGCUCAGCGACUUCGAUUGCCUACCGGUCCAGCAGUUCGCUGAUCCCCUCAUACGUCUGAGGAUGCUACUACGAAUUUUAUGUUCUGUUACGAGAACUGUGGCUGCCUAGCAUACGCAGCCCUACCCAGAACUAUGCUAUGGUUUUGUUAGAAGUACUUAUAACUGUUACAAUACUUAUAUAUGUAGAUGGCAAAUCUUGAAAUAUAAAGGGUAACAAUGCCUUGGAAAGAUAAUUAUCCAAAGGUAAACGUUCAAUGUUUUUAAAAGUGGCAUACCUCUGUAAUAAUCCAACAGUUUUAUACACAUGGAAUGCACAUCGGGAUAUGUGCAAUUUUAUCUUCUAUGCAUGUUCCAAUCUAGUCACAUUGAGUCAAACAACUUGACUAAAUAACUUUCCACUCACCGCUAACUCUGAGAUAGCUAGCCACAAGAGUAGCCACACAGUAUAAUCAGACCUUUAUCCAGCGGUUACCACAGGCCCAGAUGGCCUCCCCCAGAGCAAUUGGUCUGAAUAUUUUAGCUAGCACAGUCGUCGGCGGCUCAACUUCGUGCGGCCAAAGGUCAUAGGUCAUCCGGGAGGUCACUGAGAGCGCAUUCGACUUCAUGAAUGUCUGCGAAUAUUGACUCGGUGUCAGAGCUGAGGAGACAUUUGAUGUUGACAUUUAGAGCGUUAGCUUCGGCACUCACAUUCCAGUUCAUCUAUUUAGAACACUGUCUUUUGCUUGCGUCAUUCAAUCGCAGUAGUUUUUUUAACCGACCUUAGCUGUCAUCAGAAAAGUUUAUGUCAUUCUCAUGUGAUAAAUACCUGAUCUCAGGAGUAUAUUUUUGUACUGAAACUCAUCUAGUAUUAGUUUAUAUCACGUAUACUGUGAGCGCACACUGCAUACUUAUUGUUCAGUGUCCGCAUCCUAUCUCUGAAUCUGAAUCUGAAUCCGCCUCUGAAAUCCUGAAUUGUGUCUUUCCCUUUCACUCUGGAGAAGCCUGCAGCCCGAGCCGGUUAUUUAAAUCCACGUUCAGUGCCAUAUCAUUGUGUCAUUCGACCGCGUUUGUGCAUAGGUGCUACUUAUUCCUUUUUGUAGUUGUAUUUUUUUCAGAGACAAACACACACAACCACAAAUGAAGAAGACAAUGAUGCGUGCAUAUAUCCUGUUUUAAAAAGUACGCUGAUGCCUUGCCUUCUCAUCUCCCUAAAACAAGAAUGCAAGAAUAUCAUUGAUCACAGCUCAUUUUCCUGCUUACAAUAUUCUCCCGCGCGGCCAACAACACUUUAAGUGUAUUGAACCGCUCGGGACACCAGAGGGAGGCGAUACACGCUAUCUCACCCAGCCCAGGUUGUUUGCCUCCCAUCGGAGCAGCCAUAAGUCGAUAGACACCACGCUGGAGAGGCAGCGCCUGAAAUGAGCGAUUUACAGCUGGUGUGGCGACUGGCUUAGAAAUGAGUCGAUAGCGGUGGCAGGCUGUUGUUUUGUAUAUUUAAAAGGAGAAUUACAGAAUGAUAAUGACAAAAAAGAGAAGGCUAAAGCACUAGUACAGGUUCGCAACAACACAGGCUUACAAGGCCUGGCUAAGAGCAAUGAAUGAGGAAUCAACCUUGCCAUUGUUUUUACUUUUUGACAGCUUUUGGUCGUAUGAGUUCCAAGCAUAGUUUCCCAACUUUGGCUCGACUGAUCGGCCCUUCAUUUUAAAACUUGUAUACCAUUAC